rnacentral:rRNA from 1 species
AUUGAACGCUGGCGCAGGCCUAACACAUGCAAGUCGAGCGGUAGAGAGAAGCUUGCUUCUCUUGAGAGCGGCGGACGGGUGAGUAAUGCCUAGGAAUCUGCCUGGUAGUGGGGGAUAACGUUCGGAAACGGACGCUAAUACCGAAUACGUCCUACGGGAGAAAGCAGGGGACCUUUGGGCCUUGCGUUAUCCGAUGAGCCUAGGUCGGAUUAGCUAGUUGGGGAGGUAAGGGCUCACCAAGGCGACGAUCCGUAACUGGUCUGAGAGGAUGAUCAGUCACACUGGAACAGAGACACGGUCCAGACUCCUACGGGAGGCAGCAGUGGGGAAUAUUGGACAAUGGGCGAAAGCCUGAUCCAGCCAUGCCGCGUGUGUGAAGAAGGUCUUCGGAUUGUAAAGCACUUUAAGUUGGGAGGAAGGGUUGUAGAUUAAUACUCUGCAAUUUUGACGUUACCGACAGAAUAAGCACCGGCUAACUCUGUGCCAGCCGCCGCGGUAA